rnacentral:misc_RNA from 1 species
GAAAUGCGAUAAGUAAUGUGAAUUGCAGAAUUCAGUGAAUCAUCGAAUCUUUGAACGCACCUUGCGCUCCUUGGUAUUCCUUGGAGCAUGCCUGUUUGAGUAUCAUGAAAUCUUCAAAGUAAUCUUUUGUUAACUCAAUUGGUUUCUACUUUGGUAUUGGAGGUCUUUGCAGCUUCACACCUGCUCCUCUUUGUUCAUUAGCUGGAUCUCAGUGUUAUGCUUGGUUCCACUCGGCGUGAUAAGUUAUCUAUCGCUGAGGACACUGUAAAAGGUGGCCAAGGUAAAUGCAGAUGAACCGCUUCUAAUAGUCCAUUGACUUGGACAAUACUUUUAUGAUCUGAUCUCAAAUCAGGUAGGACUACCCGCUGAACUUAAGC